UGGCAUUGGAGGUAACUUACUUAAGGUUACUC
rnacentral:piRNA from 1 species